rnacentral:rRNA from 1 species
UAACACAUGCAAGUCGAACGAUGAAGUCUAGCUUGCUAGACGGAUUAGUGGCGGACGGGUGAGUAAUGUAUAGGGAUCUGCCUAGUAGUGGGGGACAACAGCCGGAAACGGCUGCUAAUACCGCAUACGCUCUACGGAGGAAAGCGGGGGCUCUUCGGACCUCGUGCUAUUAGAUGAACCUAUAUCAGAUUAGCUAGUUGGUGGGGUAAAGGCCUACCAAGGCGACGAUCUGUAGCUGGUCUGAGAGGAUGAUCAGCCACACUGGGACUGAGACACGGCCCAGACUCCUACGGGAGGCAGCAGUGGGGAAUAUUGGACAAUGGGGGCAACCCUGAUCCAGCAAUGCCGCGUGUGUGAAGAAGGCCUUCGGGUUGUAAAGCACUUUCAAUAGGGAGGAAAGGUUGUAAGUUAAUACCUUGCAACUGUGACGUUACCUAUAGAAGAAGCACCGGCUAACUCCGUGCCAGCAGCCGCGGUAAUAAGGGCGAAUUC